CAUUUGUUAUCAUUGGUCACAUUGAAAAUGUGAAAUAAGCACCUACAACAUAGACUUUACAACACUUCAUGGUUCGAUCCGUGAGGUGUUUUUCU
rnacentral:sRNA from 1 species